ACUGCCUCUAUAGGCAUUGCAGGUGUGGCUGCUGUGUCACAUGUGCUUCAGUAGGUGGCAGAGAGGAGAGAGGCUGUGUCUAUGCUCAGUGGUCUAGCCUGUGGACACCUGCAUGAUUAGUAGCCUAACAGU